rnacentral:misc_RNA from 1 species
ACCAGCCGUGAAGGUCGCCCCGAAAGGGCAACGACCUUUCACCCGGCCACCCUUGCUUACUUUAACCUGUUGCUUUGGUGGGCCCGCCGUGAGGCCGCUGGGGAACUUGAGCUCCCUGGCCCGUGCCCACCAAAGUCUUAAUCGAACCCUGCAAGUUUUAUGUUGUCUGAGUGUGAAAGCACAACCUUUUUA